rnacentral:rRNA from 1 species
UACAGAGGGGGCUAGCGUUAUUCGGAAUUAUUGGGCGUAAAGGGCGCGUAGGCGGCCACGCGUGUCUUUCGUGAAAUCCCUCGGCUUAACUGAGGACGUGCGGAAGAAACUGCGAGGCUUGAGUCCGGGAGAGGGGGGUGGAAUUCCCAGUGUAGCGGUGAAAUGCGUAGAUAUCUGGAGGAACACCGGUGGCGAAGGCGGCAUCCUGGACCGGUAUUGACGCUGAUGAGCGAAAGCCAGGGGAGCAAACGGG